AUUAUUUCAUGUGUGGAAUUGUUCCUUUUAUAGGUGGAGUUUGCGGUUUUCAAACUAUUAGGAAGAUUCAUUCCACCUCGAGCCUUAUAUAAAGAGAGUAUGGCCAACUGGGUUUGAGACUGUUUGCUUUGCGAUUGGUCAAAAGCCCCUCAUGUGACUACAGGACGCUUUGGAACCGACAUCUGCGUGUCUCAUUAGAAAGCAGUACACUAUCGCUUGGUAGCACGCACAUGACGGGAUGACGGGAGGCCUGGAAACCCAACAACUGCAUUUUGUACGAGAGCUGAUGGCCUGAGGAAAUUGAUCCCGAAUGUUGUGCCAACACUGUUCGCGUCCACGCCACUUAAAAACCGUGCGGCCUCGGAGACGUCUUGAGAAGCAGAGAUCGCAGUCGUCGUCUCAUCUGUCAAAGAGGAUACAUGACAAGCCAGAGGACCAACUUGUGCCCAGUGGCUUUUCUGCAGAGAAGUGCAAUGAGAGAUUGAAAGUUCUUGGCCAAGGAAAGAAGGGAGGAAAUGAACUUGAAAGGAAAAAAAAAGGAUAGAGGUGAACGUUUCGAAGGUGUUCAACAACGAUCAGCUUGACAAACUCAAUCAGGCAAGUCAGCGAGGAAAGAAAUGGACUGCUGACACAAACCUUUCGGCAGCCGUGCGGUAAGUUCAGCACUGCGGUACCUGGUUGAAUGUGAAGCACAUGAUGACUCACUACUCACCACGGACUGGCGCAUAAACUUCAUGGUCGGACAACGUCGAGUAGACACCCCAUGGCGGCACUCAGCAAGUGGAAUCAACAAUCCUACGAAACCGUCUGCAAUCGACCGUAUAUGACCAUCAGAAAACAGGGCCGCUGGAAGCCAGUCCAGACAGGAGUGGUCCUCCCAACGUCAACAAUCAUUACCCUUCAAUCUGAGCUUCUCACCACAGGUCGCGUGUAUUUCUUAACAUCAAGGUUCACCCAAGACUGCCUCGAAAACCUCUUUGGAUGCACCCGAAUGAAGGAUCCUGUCCCGACAGCUCUUGAUUUUAGACGGGCACUGAAGAUUUGAGAAAUGCCCCUCAAAAAGCAGUUACCAGGAGGAAGACCGCACUUUCCUUGCUGAAUUUCUUCAUCAGGAUCCCAUGUUCAGAGAGUCACGACAGCAUUUCACCUGUUAGUCCCGUCAUUGAUGAGGAUCCAGAGAACAACAGCCUACACAAUGUCAUAGUCAAGAAAAUGAAGAAUGCGUGUUCAAACUGUAUCGAAUCAGUAUGGGUUGAAAUCCAAAAUCACAACUCGCUCACGAGUUAACAUCACCAAAAAGAAAUGGAAGGAUGGUUGCAGGAUCUGCUGUUCGGAGGAAUGCAUGAAGCUGUUUUGACAGGGCUCAAUUCCUCUUCAGGUCAUCUCAAAUUAAGUUGGGAAGGGAAAAAUGUGUUUACAUCAAGACUCGCCGAGCAAGCAGAAGCUCUCACAAGGGACAUUGACCUGCCUUGCUGUCACGGAAUUAAGAACAUUCCCCUUGCAAAAUUCCUCACAGCAAGAUUGCACUUGAGGGGAAGAAGCAAGCAAAGAUACGCAAAGGACAAACUCACACAAUCCAAGUCAACUGGUGAACUUGGCAGCAAGAGCAUGCCUGUAAAAAAAAAAAAAAAAAUA